AUGUCAGAGGAAAGGAUGACAGAGAGGUCCAAUCAACUGAAGGAGAAAAUAAUCGGGUUAUUUUCGUGCGGUACCAUAGUUGAGCAACUGAACCUUGUAGACACACUCCAACACCUAAGCGUAGAUCAUCAUUUUCAUGAAAAAAUUGACUCCACAUUAAGAAGCGCUCAUGCUGGUGAAUUCAAUAGCUCCAGCCUUCAUCAUGUCGUCCUUCGGUUCCGCAUACUGAGGCAGCAAGGCUUUUGGGUGUCUCCGGGUAUACACUAA
rnacentral:rRNA from 1 species